UACGUAGGUGGCGAGCGUUGUCCGGAAUUACUGGGCGUAAAGGGCGCGCAGGCGGCUCGUUAAGUUGGGCGUGAAAUCCCCUGGCUCAACUGGGGGAGGCCGUCCAAUACUGGGGGGCUUGAGUGCAGGAGAGGGAAGUGGAAUUCCCGGUGUAGCGGUGAAAUGCGUAGAUAUCGGGAAGAACACCAGUGGCGAAGGCGGCUUCCUGGACUGUAACUGACGCUGAGGCGCGAAAGCUGGGGGAGCGAACAGG
rnacentral:rRNA from 1 species